AGCAGCCGCGGUAAUUCCAGCUCCAAUAGCGUAUAUUAAAGUUGUUGCAGUUAAAAAGCUCGUAGUUGAAUUUCGGGAUCAAUAUAUUGGUCGUGCCUUCGGUAUGCACUGGUAUUAUUGAUUUCUACCUUCUGACGAACCAUGAUGUCAUUAAUUUGGUGUCAUGGGGAAUCAGGACUGUUACUUUGAAAAAUUAGAGUGUUUAAAGCAGGCACACGCUUGAAUACAUUAGCAUGGAAUAAUGAAAUAGGACGUUUGAUCUUAUUUUGUUGGUUUCUAGGAUCGACGUAAUGAUUAAUAGGGAUAGUUGGGGGCAUUAGUAUUCAAUUGUCAGAGGUGAAAUUCUUGGAUUUAUUGAAGACUAACUACUGCGAAAGCAUUUGCCAAGGAUGUUUUCAUUAAUCAAGAACGAAAGUUAGGGGAUCGAAGACGAUCAGAUACCGUCGUAGUCUUAACCAUAAACUAUGCCGACU
rnacentral:rRNA from 1 species